GCGGCCACUUGAGUAUCUGGUCAAUAUGGAUAAACUGUGGUUCCUUACUCAUGUGUGGAUGAUUGAGGUCUGUGCUGCAGCUUGUUUGGUUCUUUUCUGUCGCGGCUGUGCACAUAAUGAUAUUUAGCGAAAUUAUUUCACUAGUAACGGAGCAUGAUUUGUCAAGUGAUGCAAAUGAUGGUGUCAUACCAAAAGUUCCAAACAAAGCUGCAAAACAUCCACUAGCAGGGUUGAUAGUAGCUAGCAAUGCUAACUAGCUAGCUGGGAACAUUAGCAUUUCUCACAGGUGUGUUUUAUCUAAUGUUACAUUCGAGUUAAAUCUAGUGAUAUGGCACAUAGGAAAGAAGUAUUCCAGUCUAAAGUUCUUCAGAGGCUGUACCCCUUACCUCCCAAGCCUGAGAAAGAACCCAGCUCUCCACCCGCUGAGUUUGUUCUCAAAAAGUCCUCUGUGGAACUAAAAGUAGGCCUAGAGGAGGAGGGCACUAUCACUGUCUCAGGAGAUGGAGGGAUAACACCAUCCUCAUCCCAGCCAGGCAGACGAAUGUACACAGUCCUAACUCCCCCUGCUGAGUACAAGACAGGUGCAGAGGGAUCUGUCAUGCUCUCUCAGCCAGCAGGCAUAAAUACUGUGGAGGACCCAGCUG